ACCUAUACAACUAAACACAACAUUACCAACCUGCUACAACAUUACCAACCUGCUACAAGUAAACACAACAUUACCAACCUGCACAACUCAACACAACAUUACCAACCUGCACAACUCAACACAACAUUAUCAACCUGCUACAACAUUAUCAACCUAUACAACUAAACACAACAUUAUCAACCUGCUACAACAUUAUCAACCUAUACAACUAAACACAACAUUACCAACCUGCUACAACUCAACACAACAUUAUCAACCUAUACAACUAAACACAACAUUAUCAACCUGCUACAACAUUAUCAACCUAUACAACUAAACACAACAUUAUCAACCUGCUACAACAUUAUCAACCUAUACAACUAAACACAACAUUACCAACCUGCUACAACUCAACACAACAUUACCAACCUGCUACAACUAAAUACAACAUUAUCAACCUGCUACAACAUUAUCAACCUGUACAACUAAACACAACAUUAUCGACCUGCUACAACUAAACACAACAUUAUCGACCUGCUACAACUAAACACAACAUUACAACCUGCUACAACUAAACACAACAUUAUCGACCUGCUACAACUAAACACAACAUUAUCGACCUGCUACACAGAGAGGAACCAAGCAUAAAUGUAUUUUUCCAUUGAUUGAAAAUAGCUGUCACUGCAGGGGGAUGUUUGUAGCCAUCUUUUCAUUUUAUUUUCUCCUUCAUGUGGGAACAUCUAUAAUAUUAGACCCAUCUCUUUAUUCUCUUGAAUGACUUGUACAGACCAGGGUCUGUACCGACCCCGAGCUGGACUGAGGAGGUUUUAUACAGACCAGGGUCUGUAUCGACCCCGAGCUGGACUGAGGAGGUUUUAUACAGACCAGGGUCUGUACCGACCCCGAGCUGGACUGAGGAGGUUUUAUUCAGACCAGGGUCUGUAUCGACCCCGAGCUGGACUGAGGAGGUUUUAUACAGACCAGGGUCUGUAUCGACCCCGAGCUGGACUGAGGAGGUUUUAUACAGACCAGGGUCUGUACCGACCCCGAGCUGGACUGAGGAGGUUUUAUACAGACCAGGGUCUGUACUGAGCUGGACUGAGGAGGUUUUAUACAGACCAGGGUCUGUGAUCAACCAAGAUGGACUGAGGAGGUUUUAUACAGACCAGGAUCUGUACCGACCCAGAACUGAACUGAGGAGGUUUUAUACAGACCAGGGUCUGUACCGACCCAGAGCUGGACUGAGGAGGUUUUAUACAGACCAGGGUCUGUACCGACCCAGAGCUGGACUGAGGAGGUUUUAUACAGACCAGGGUCUGUGAUCAACCAAGAUGGACUGAGGAGGUUUUAUACAGACCAGGAUCUGUACCGACCCAGAACUGAACUGAGGAGGUUUUAUACAGACCAGGGUCUGUACCGACCCAGAGCUGGACUGAGGAGGUUUUAUACAGACCAGGGUCUGUACCGACCCAGAGCUGGACUGAGGAGGUUUUAUACAGACCAGGGUCUGUGAUCAACCAAGAUGGACUGAGGAGGUUUUAUACAGAUCAGGGUCUGGACUGAGGAGGUUUUAUACAGACCAGGGUCUGUACCGACCCAGAACUGGACUGAGGAGGUUUUAUACAGACCAGGGUCUGUACCGACCCAGAACUGGACUGAGGAGGUUUUAUACAGACCAGGGUCUGUACCGACCCCGAGCUGCACUGAGGAGGUUUUAUACAGACCAGGGUCUGUACCGACCCCGAGCUGGACUGAGGAGGUUUUAUACAGACCAGGGUCUGUAUCGACCCCGAGCUGGACUGAGGAGGUUUUAUACAGACCAGGGUCUGUACCGACCCCGAGCUGGACUGAGGAGGUUUUAUACAGACCAGGGUCUGUACUGAGCUGGACUGAGGAGGUUUUAUACAGACCAGGGUCUGUGAUCAACCAAGAUGGACUGAGGAGGUUUUAUACAGACCAGGGUCUGUACCGACCCCGAGCUGGACUGAGGAGGUUUUAUACAGACCAGGGUCUGUACCGACCCAGAGCUGGACUGAGGAGGUUUUAUACAGACCAGGGUCUGUACCGACCCAGAGCUGGACUGAGGAGGUUUUAUACAGACCAGGGUCUGUGAUCAACCAAGAUGGACUGAGGAGGUUUUAUACAGACCAGGAUCUGUACCGACCCAGACCUGAACUGAGGAGGUUUUAUACAGACCAGGGUCUGUACCGACCCAGAGCUGGACUGAGGAGGUUUUAUACAGACCAGGGUCUGUACCGACCCAGAGCUGGACUGAGGAGGUUUUAUACAGACCAGGGUCUGUGAUCAACCAAGAUGGACUGAGGAGGUUUUAUACAGACCAGGGUCUGUACCGAGCUGGACUGAGGAGGUUUUAUACAGACCAGGGUCUGUAUCAACCCCGAGCUGGACUGAGGAGGUUUUAUACAGACCAGGGUCUGUACCGACCCCGAGCUGGACUGAGGAGGUUUUAUACAGACCAGGGUCUGUAUCGACCCAGAGCUGGACUGAGGGGUUUUAUACAGACCAGGGUCUGUACCGAGCUGGACUGAGGAGGUUUUAUACAGACCAGGAUCUGUACCGACCCAGAACUGGACUGAGGAGGUUUUAUACAGACCAGGGUCUGUAUCGACCCAGAGCUGGACUGAGGAGGUUUUAUACAGACCAGGGUCUGUACCGACCCAGAACUGGACUGAGGAGGUUUUAUACAGACCAGGGUCUGUACCGACCCAGAGCUGGACUGAGGAGGUUUUAUACAGACCAGGCUCUGUGAUCAACCAAGAUGGACUGAGGAGGUUUUAUACAGACCAGGAUCUGUACCGACCCAGAACUGGACUGAGGAGGUUUUAUACAGACCAGGGUCUGUAUCGACCCAGAGCUGGACUGAGGAGGUUUUAUACAGACCAGGGUCUGUACCGACCCCGAGCUGGACUGAGGAGGUUUUAUACAGACAGGGUCUGUGAUCAACCAAGAUGGACUGAGGAGGUUUUAUACAGACCAGGAUCUGUACCGAGCUGGACUGAGGAGGUUUUAUACAGACCAGGGUCUGUAUCGACCCAGAGCUGGACUGAGGGGUUUUAUACAGACCAGGGUCUGUACCGACCCAGAGCUGGACUGAGGAGGUUUGAUACAGACCAGGGUCUGUACCGACCCAGAGCUGGACUGAGGAGGUUUUAUACAGACCAGGGUCUGUACCGAGCUGGACUGAGGAGGUUUUAUACAGACCAGGGUCUGUACCGACCCAGAGCUGGACUGAGGAGGUUUUAUACAGACCAGGGUCUGUAUCGACCCCGAGCUGGACUGAGGAGGUUUUAUACAGACCAGGGUCUGUACCGAGCUGGACUGAGGGGUUUUAUACAGACCAGGGUCUGUACCGACCCAGAGCUGGACUGAGGAGGUUCUAUACCUGGUCUGUGUUCAACCAAGAUGGAAGAGGAACGACUCAAACAUCCGAAUCUUAGUGCCAAGGUUACCGUGGAAACAGAGGAGGGGAACUGAUUUGUCUAAGUAACUAAUAUUAAAACAUUAAAAAAAUAAGUGUUAUGUAAAGUUGUUAUUGUCUAUUUGUUGGAGCGUAAACAGAGAAACAACAGAUGGGACGAUGUGCAUUGUUGUCCUGUCAGGAGUGGAUUGAUUGAUUGAUUGAUUGAUUGAUUGAUUGAUUGAUUGAACUCUGGCUCCAAAGGUAAGGUAGGAGCAGAUGGUAGGGCGAGGCCUCUUCCUAUUGGAGGACCAACAGCCUAUUAUCUAUCAGUCCCACUACCACCCAGUACACCAACUACCCUGUAGAACCAUCAGUCCCACUACCACCCAGUACACCGACUACCCUGUAGAACCCAGCCUAGUACCCAUCAGUCCCACUACCACCCAGUACAC
rnacentral:lncRNA from 1 species